GAGUUUGAUCAUGGCUCAGGAUGAACGCUAGCGACAGGCUUAACACAUGCAAGUCGAGGGGCAGUGGUGGUGAAGGCUUGCCUUCACCAGCCGGCGACCGGCGCACGGGUGAGUAACACGUAUGCAACCUGCCUGCCACAGCCGGAUAAUCGGGAGAAAUUCCGUCUAAUACGGCAUAAUGCAUCGACGGGACAUCCUGUUGGUGCCAAAGGUUAAUUCCGGUGGCGGAUGGGCAUGCGUCGCAUUAGUUAGUUGGCGGUGUGACGGACCACCAAGACGACGAUGCGUAGGGGUUCUGAGAGGAAGGUCCCCCACACUGGUACUGAGACACGGACCAGACUCCUACGGGAGGCAGCAGUGAGGAAUAUUGGUCAAUGGGCGGGAGCCUGAACCAGCCAAGUCGCGUGAGGGAUGACGGCCCUAUGGGUUGUAAACCUCUUUUGCCGGGGAGCAAAGUGCCGCACGUGUGCGGUUUGGAGAGUACCCGGAGAAAAAGCAUCGGCUAACUCCGUGCCAGCAGCCGCGGUAAUACGGAGGAUGCGAGCGUUAUCCGGAUUUAUUGGGUUUAAAGGGUGCGUAGGCGGACGCUUAAGUCAGCGGUAAAAUUGCGGGGCUCAACCUCGUCGAGCCGUUGAAACUGGGUGCCUUGAGUGGGCGAGAAGUACGCGGAAUGCGUGGUGUAGCGGUGAAAUGCAUAGAUAUCACGCAGAACUCCGAUUGCGAAGGCAGCGUACCGGCGCCCAACUGACGCUGAAGCACGAAGGCGUGGGUAUCGAACAGGAUUAGAUACCCUGGUAGUCCACGCAGUAAACGAUGAAUGCUAGUUGUCCGGGGCGAUUGGGUUCUGGGUGACACAGCGAAAGCGUUAAGCAUUCCACCUGGGGAGUACGCCGGCAACGGUGAAACUCAAAGGAAUUGACGG
rnacentral:rRNA from 1 species